rnacentral:rRNA from 1 species
GAUGAACGCUAGCGGCAGGCUUAACACAUGCAAGUCGAGGGGCAACACGGGUAGCAAUACCUGGUGGCGACCGGCGCAAGGGUGCGUAACGCGUGAGCAACAUGCCCUAUACAGGGGGAUAAUCCAGGGAAACUUGGUCUAAUAUCCCAUAGUAUUUAGAGGUGGCAUCACCACUAAAUUAAAGCUUCGGUGGUAUAGGAUUGGCUCGCGUGACAUUAGCUGGAUGGUGGGGUAACGGCUCACCAUGGCGAUGAUGUCUAGGGGUUCUGAGAGGAAGACCCCCCACACUGGGACUGAGACACGGCCCAGACUCCUACGGGAGGCAGCAGUGAGGAAUAUUGGACAAUGGAUGGAAAUACUGAUCCAGCCAUGCCGCGUGCAGGAAGACGGCCCUAUGGGUUGUAAACUGCUUUUAUAUGGGAGCAAUAAGGUUUACGCGUAGACCGAUGAGAGUACCAUAUGAAUAAGCAUCGGCUAACUCCGU